UACGUAGGGUGCAAGCGUUGUCCGGAAUUAUUGGGCGUAAAGAGCUCGUAGGCGGUUUGUCGCGUCUGCUGUGAAAACUCGGGGCUUAACUCCGGGCCUGCAGUGGGUACGGGCAGACUAGAGUGCGGUAGGGGAGACUGGAAUUCCUGGUGUAGCGGUGGAAUGCGCAGAUAUCAGGAGGAACACCGGUGGCGAAGGCGGGUCUCUGGGCAGUAACUGACGCUGAGGAGCGAAGCGUGGGGAGCGAACAGG
rnacentral:rRNA from 1 species